CAAUAGCGUAUAUUAAAGUUGUUGCAGUUAAAAGCUCGUAGUUGGAUUUCUGGGAGGGUGCCAAUGUCCGCCGAAGCGCGUGCGCAGCGGCGCCCUUCCAUCCUUCUGUUAACGCCUCUUGGCAUUCAUUUGCUGGUGGCGGGCUCAGAUAUUUUACCUUGAGAAAAUUAGAGUGUUUCAGGCAGGCUAUCGCCGGAAUACAUUAGCAUGGAAUAAUGGAAAAGGACUUCAACCUCUUCUGUUGGUCUGAGAGGCUGUAGUAAUGAUUAAUAGGGAUAGUUGGGGGCAUUAGUACUUGACUGUCAGAGGUGAAAUUCUCCGAUUUGUUAAAGACUAACUUAUGCGAAAGCAUUCACCAAGGAUGUCUUCUUUAAUCAAGAACGAAAGUUGGGGGAUCGAAGAUGAUUAGAUACCAU
rnacentral:rRNA from 1 species